rnacentral:rRNA from 1 species
UCCGUAGGCGGGUAAUUAAGUCAGUGGUGAAAUCCCCCGGCUUAACCGGGGAACUGCCAUUGAAACUUUCAUUCUUGAGUACAGUUGAAGUGGGCGGAAUGAGUCAUGUAGCGGUGAAGUGCAUAGAUAUGACUCAGAACACCGAUAGCGAAGGCAGCUCACUAAGCUGUAACUGACGCUCAGGCACGAAAGCGUGGGGAGCAAACAGGAUUAGAUACCCUGGUAGUCC